UACGAAGGUGGCAAGCGUUAAUCGGAAUUAUUGGGCGUAAAGGGUGAGUAGGCGGCUGAGCAAGUCAAGGAUGAAAGCCCAAAGCCCAACUGCGGGAUUGUCCUUGAAACUGAUCUGCUAGAGGGUAGUUGGGGAGAGUGGAAUUCCCGGUGGAGCGGUGAAAUGCGUAGAUAUCGGGAGGAACACCUGAGGCGAAGGCGGCUCUCUAAGCUAUUCCUGACGAUGAAUCACGAAAGCUAGGGGAUCGAACGGG
rnacentral:rRNA from 1 species